UCAGGUGAUCCGCCCACCUCGGCCUCCCAAAGUGCCAGGAUUACAGGGAUGAGCCACCACGCCUAGCCAAGAACCAUUUUCUCUUUAGACAAAAGGAACCGUUGUUUGGAGUAGCAUUUUAUUUAUACUUAUAAAAUGUUAUGUUACAGUUUGUGUUGUUACAUGAAUGUAUUUGUCUCUUAAAUCAUGGUAUAGUGUGAAGAAAAUGAGUUCUCAGGUUGGAAAUAUCUGGAUUUGAGUACUAGCUCUGACCUUUCCAACAAUGUGUCUUUUUGUCAUAUAAUGUUUCCUUUCCAACAAUGUGUCUUUUUGUCAUAUAAUGUUUAUUUUCAUAGGGUUGUUGGGAGGAUUAAAUGAAAUUAUAUCUGUAAAGUACCUUUUAUAACCUGCUAAUAUGCAGGUCAUAAUCUAAUGGUAUAGAAUUUUUGUUCUGUACUCUUUGAUAAGAAUUCUAAGGAGGUGGUUUGGAAAGAGAAAUUUACAGAUACCAGAUGAAAUCCAAAACCCAGGUAUACAACGAGUCAUACGCAAGAUCUCUGUCUGUUAAUCUGCCUCAUGAAAAUGAUGAACCAGGAGAAUCUAUGGGACAGUAGGAAAAGCUGCCAGUCACUCAGAUUGUAAUAACAUUUACCUUAUACGUUUAUAAUGGAAAUCCUGCCACUAUUUACACCAGAAACAGUUUCUAUUGAGAAAAUGUAUUUUAAUAGAAAAUUCUCAUUUAAAAUUUGGGCAGAUAUCUGUAUUGUUGAGUUAACCAAAUGAGAAGAGAAAAAUCCUUACAAUGUAGCUUGUCAUUUACCUGACUUGAUGCAGACUGCUUUGCGUAGUAAUCAUGCAGCACUAUCAAGACUUUGUACAUAGUGUCAGAAUCCAUCUACGUAAGAUGUAAUAUGGACUGAUGCCAAGCGAGCCUGGGGUGGAAAUCAGAACUGGAUGCAAAUCCUGAUGUUAUCUGAGAACAGGCACCUGUUAUAUAGGCUGUGUUACUGUGGCAAAGAUAAUGUUAAGCCGGGCGCGGUGACUCACGCUUGUAAUCCCAGCACUUUGGGAGGCCGAGGCGGGAGGAUCACUUGGGCCCAGGAGUUUGAGGCCAGCGUGGGCAACACUGGGAGA